UUAAAUGGAUGAAAUAUGAAGUUUUAUUAAAAGAAAAAGGGGUGAAAAGAACAAAGUUUUGUCCAUCUUUGUUCAUCAUAGCUGAAAGUUAGAGAAGAGAAAGGAGAGGAGAAAGCUCUUGAGUAUUUGGUCAUUAGGAGGAGGAAAAUUGAAGGCGGUUUGUGUGUGGAUCUCGUCAGCAUAUCGUCGCAAACAGGUGUGUAACUAACACCCUCUUUCUUAGUCUGGAUCGGCAAAAGUCGAAAAGCCGAAAUGCCAAAAAAACCGGUAUUUUGUAGAUUUUCGAGUGUGCGAAUGCUCGUGAGGUAAAUCGAUUAAUGUUUUUGGUAAGCUGCAAAAUUUGGACUGCAAAGUGCAUGAUUUCUGUGCCCUCGAUGUUUUUGGGCUUAAUGGGCCAAAAUUGGAAUGAUGGGCCAACGGGCCCAAUUCGGUAAGAACCUUCGGUACAUGAUUCUGUUAGUACAUGAAAAGUAGGAAUAUGCAUGAAAAACCCUAAAAUAGAUAAAUUACUGAAAUACCUUUAAAAGUGAAAAAUUUACAGUUUUACCCUUAGGAGAUAAAUUACCGAAAUACCUCUAGGGUUAAAUUGACCUAAAUGCAUGUUUGAUUGUUGUUAUUUAUUGCAUGCCAUGUUGUUAUUAUCGAUGCAUGGACUGGGAUAUUGACGGAGGAAGUCUUGAAAGUGGCUUGUCCACGUCUUGGAGGCUUUGCCUCAAUUUAUUGAUAAUCGAGCAGCAAAGCAAGGCGCAAUCGUGGAGUGUUAAAUUUGGGUGGGUUGAGCUAUUCCCACAUGGAGUGUAUGGCUAGUACGGGUGGAGUGUAGUGGUUGGUGGGUUGCGUAGUCUCCCAAAUGGGCUUGCAUAUGUUUCUUGAUGUUGCAUGUAUUUUGAAAUGGGCCUAUGGGCCAUCAUUAUCUGAAUAAGGGCUAAGGCCCGGUUUAUUAUGUCUGAAAAGGGCUCGCCCAGUACCACUGAUUACUGAGCAGGCUUAGGCCCAAUAGGCUUGAGUGACUUGGGCUUUGAAUGGGUUUUCCUUACACACCGAGUUUCCCCAAACUCACCCUUUUAUUUUCAUCCACGCAGAAAUCCCCAACCAUAGUGGGCUUGGAGUUGUGAGGGAAUUCGGAGUGGCCACCCAUUCUGAAAGUUUGAUUUUCUUCCGUGAACUGGAUAUCCUUUUAAUUACGUUUGAGGUUUUAGGCUUUUAAAUGUAAUAAGGCCGCUUAUUUAUUUUUGAUGGUUUUUAAUAUGUAUUACUAAGAUAGGUAAUACUUAUUUUAACUGUUGAAAUUGGAUAGCUUUAGGGCGUUUUCAAAAACAACAGUUGAUUUCAAAAUAACACGACAACAAGCAAAGCUUCCGCAAUGAAAGUAUUUUCCAAAAUUAAUCACUUUUCCUAAAAUGACUUAAUCAAAUCGGUUUCUAGAAAUAUCCAUGACAUUAAGGUGUGGCAAUGGCGUAUGCAUGUCUAGGAUUGGAUCCGAAGGAGUUUGGUAUUAGCGGUCCGGUGGACUCACCACCUCUUUUCUGGUUUCCUACCUGGUGCACAGCUUCCAUUCACUUUAACCCUUAAUGAAUUAAUCUUUUGAACAUUAAGUACGAUUUUCUAGACUUAAAAUGGAAAUUUUUUUUUAACAUUUUUGAUGUGGCAUGCCGGAUCCGGCCAUAACUUCUGGGCCGGGUUUGGGGUGCUACACGACUGUGUCUUCCCUAUAGAUUGAAUUUUCAAAUGUCAGAUGGCCACAGUCUCUCACACAGCUUAGCCACACGACCGUGUGCCACCUCUACAAGGUCCAAGGCUUCCCACAUAGUCCGGUCACACAACCGUGUGUCCCUUGUAACUCAAAAUUUACAGUUUUGACUCAGAAUUUUACAUUUUGACCAGUUUAGUCCCUGAAUAUAUUUUGAACCAUUUUUAGUAAAUUAAAUUAUGCAACUAGGUCCCUGAUUAUAUGCAGUAUGCUAAAAUCCAUGAUUGAUCGAAUUAAUGCAGUAUAUAUAUAUUUGCAUGAAUUAUGAGUAGUACAUGUUACUUUUGUAUCUAUA